UCAGACGAUGCGUCAUGCAUAUCAAUAAGCGGAGGAAAAGAAACUAACAAGGAUUCCCUUAGUAACGGCGAGUGAAGCGGGAAGAGCUCAAAUUUGAAAUCUUCAAGGUUUUACCUUGACGAAUUGUAGUUUAAAGAAGUGUUUUCUGCUGAAGUUUUGGUAAAAGUUCUUUGGAAUAGGACAUCAUAGAGGGUGAGAAUCCCGUAUUUGACCAUUAUUUUCAGCUUUGUGAUAGCACUUUCAAAGAGUCGGAUUGUUUGGGAAUGCAGUCCCAAAACUGGGUAGGUAAACUUCAUUCUAAAGCUAAAUAUUGGCGAGAGACCGAUAGCGAACAAGUACCGUGAGGGAAAGAUGAAAAGAACUUUGAAAAGAGAGUUAAAUAGUACGUGAAAUUGUCAAAAGGGAAGCGUUUGACACCAGUGUUGUUUUCUGAAAAUCAACCUCUGUUAGCUUUAUGCAUGUUUGUUUAGACCUAAUCAGCUAUCUUGCAUGUUCUAUUGUUUGCAGUGGUGCACUUUUCAGUUUACAGGUCAACAUCAGUUUUUUUUACCGUAAAAAAGUUAAAGAAAGGUAGCUCAUGGCUCCGGUCGUGAGUGUUAUAGUCUUUUUCCUAUGCGGUAGGAGAGACUGAGGUCUGCAGUGUAGGCUAUUUGGCUAGAUACUCAGGUGCUAUGUGAUACCAUUUCAUAAACAACUUGUUGAUUAUGUUUUGUCUAUUGCAUACUCGCUUGUACUAUCAUACCUACGCUUAGGAUGUUGACUGAUAUGUAGUCGUA
rnacentral:rRNA from 1 species